AGACUGUUAAAGAAAAUCAAAGAUGUAGUGCCAGGAACACCAACUUCACAAAGAAAGAAUUUGACUGAAGUAGUGAAAGAGAAAACUCCGCAUACAGAUAUUGCGCUUAGUGAAAUGAUCAUCACAAAUGUUAAAAGUAUGGUGACAAAUUUGAAAAAAAAAGAAGAAGUGACGAGGCAAGAGCUGCAAUAAAUAUUCUGACAGCAAGUGUAAGCGGUGAAAACUUAAAAGAAUCAAAGUCACAAGUUCAUACUGCAAGAAAACUAGGGUUACGAAGAUGGAGGGUUACUGGCGGACAUAAGAAAAGAACUGUAUACUUGACAUCUGAAAAGGCAUGCUAUACAGCAACCAGUAGGAAAGCCAGAAGUGAUAAGAUCACUGACGCAACAAAACGUAUCAUUUAUGAUGCAUGGUUAUCUCCAAACAGCUCACGGCCGAACGGAAAUAAGGCGGACGUAAAGCGUCUCAGAACCGGACACAAGACUUAUUUAUCUCACCCUAUAUAUAUAAUGGAAAAAACGCGGUCUGAAAUUUAUGACGAUUUCAAAAUGGAACACAGCGACAUCAAAAUUAGUCAACGAUGCUUUGAGCGAUUGCGGCCAUUUUUUGUUCAACCACUAGGCCCAAAGGACAGAAACUAGUGCUGCUGCAGAAAGCACGUAGAGGCAAGACUUCUGUUCAGAAAAUGUAUGGAAUAUAAUAAAAAAACACGGCCUUGCACACCUUAUGUACGAGCACCUUACAGACGUGGUACAGUCAACCAUGUGUCCAAAACCAGUCAAUUCUACGUACAACCGUAUAGAAUGUAUUAGGCGCACCUGUCCCAACUGUGGUGUACACAAAUCACCUUUGUUUUCCGAGUCGGUUCCAGACACUCAGUCCGUUAAUUGGGAAAAGUAUGAGUAUGUACGGGUUAAGGUGAAAGAAAACAUUGAGAGGAAGAAGUUAAUGAUGGUGAAGAAGAACACGUCCGCUGUCGAAAUGUUCGAUUAUUUUCGGCAGUUACUAGUCACCUAUUCUGAACACCAGUUUAGUGCACACUGGCAGCAGGAACAAUUGACAACACUGAAAAACAGUUUGCAGAUGAACCAAUGUCUCGUUAUUCAUGACUUCAGUGAAAACUAUCGCUGUAUCGAAAAACAAGAACUGCAGUCGACAUACUUUGGGAAAACAGAGGUGUCAAUGCACGUGUCUGUUAUAUACAGGCAUGCUGUUUUAGAGUACGAUCAAGUUAGUGAAGACACAAUUGUUACUGAAGUAUUAUACACGAUAAGCCCCGACACAACACAUGACCAUUACUUUGUGUCAAAUGUUCAAUACAGAAUCAAACAUCACCUUGACAAUGUUGGCUGCAACGUUGACGACAUGAUAGAAUUUACAGACGGAUGUUCUUGCCAGUACAAAAGCAGAACUUGCAUUGGUCAUGAUGGGUGUUUCGACAUUGCUCUGUAAGAAGCAUGGUUAUAAAAGAUUUGCACGGAACUUUUCCGAAACCAGCCACGCCAAAGGCCCACAAGACGCUGCGGGGGGUUUGCUAAAACAACAACUCGACAUUGCUGUCAUGAAAUGUGAGACUACCCAAAGUGCACGUGACGUGUUUGACUUCGCUAAAGAAAAUUUGUGCACACCUAAGUCAGGCAUAUAUAUGAGGAGAAUAUUCGCCUACAUCGAGUCAGUCGACAGAUCCACUGCCUACAACUUCAGUGCUGUUCCGAACAACAGAAGAGUGCAUCAGAUGUUAACCUGCUGCCCAGGCACCAUUACCAUUCGUGAACAGUCCUGCUACACGUGCGAUUAGUGCUUAUUCGGUUCCAGCCCUUGUGAUAACUUGGAUAAAACGGGGAAUUUCACCACAGUUAAUCUGAUGAACGCACGUGAAAGCAGUGCUACUGAUGAUGGUGUCAACGAAGAAGCAUCUCUGGCUGAUAUACUGAGUGUUAGCGACGUAGUGGCCGUAAUUGCCGACGACGAAACAGAGGACUAUUACCUUCUGAAGGUUACCAAGGCAACCCACGUGCUGACCAGAGAUACAGAUGACUAGUGGGGUAAUCAUUUUAUGAAGGGCAGCUCCGUAGUACAGGGCCUUUACUUAACAAGAAUGGACAGACGUCUUCGCAUAUUUAUACUCUUGUCAAUAGACGAAAAGCAAUUGUUUAUGCCGUGGCAGUGAUAUACAUUGUAGGCCGGUCAGAUCAAAAAGACAUCGAAAUUUCUGAGUGUGACCAUCUGGACAUAAUUCAAACAACUAUGAAUAUGCAAGAUUUCUAGGUGUAUGGGGGAAAGUGCAAUAGUUUAUGAUUUAUGUAUUCAUAAUCCGUUUGUAUUUAGGUGAAUUUACGUAGAGCACUGACAUAUGUAAAUAUAUUUUUGUUUGUGUAAUGUUCUUUCAUGUACUAAUUGA